rnacentral:rRNA from 1 species
UACGGGGGGGGUAAGCGUUGUUCGGAAUCACUGGGCGUAAAGGGCGCGUAGGCGGAUCUUUAAGUCGGGGGUGAAAGCCCAGGGCUCAACCCUGGAAUUGCCUUCGAUACUGGAGAUCUUGAGACCGGAAGAGGUAAGUGGAACUGCGAGUGUAAGAGGUGAAAUUCGUAGAUAAUUCGCAAGAACACCAGUGGCGAAAGGC